ensembl:lncRNA
UUUUUUUUACACAGGACUGGCAAAGAUGAUGUCCAGAGCACCAAGGUGGCAGGACACUUUAGUUAACUCAAAGGCUAAUAGGACCAUGCAGAAAAAGAUGGGAAAGGAUUCAAAGUUUUCAAGUGGAAAACAGAGUGGCAAUACCAGAAGCGGUGUAACUGUUGGAAGGAGCCACAGUUUGGGCACUAAGGACUUGAGUUCUGGAGGUAAAGGUGGAGGGGCUACACAGGACCAGAACCAUGCGGGACUUAAGGACACGAGGACAGCAUCUCAAUCAUCCAAGCCGGGCAUCCGCCUCUGCAGCAGCCGGAGCUUCUCCUCCCUCCACAGCUCCUCCUUUCCAUCUGCCCCGUUCAUACGAAGCAGCCGCUCACUAGGCAGACUGGACCAGAGAGGGAGAGAUGAAAAAAGCCUGGAUUUUGGAAAGUGUUCGACUUCAAUUGAAACAUUAAGGGAUUGUAAAAAUUCUCCAUCAAAGAACUCUCGGGAUAUGAAAGCCAGUCUGUCUGAGCAAACAAGAGCAUCCUCUUCUGUGGCUACAUGUCACCAUCACAGCAACAAAGUCAAGAAACAGACUAGAGAUGGUGUGUACACUCUCUGUGCGAUGACCUCUGGACUGAGACGGAACUGG